rnacentral:rRNA from 1 species
UACGUAGGGGGCAAGCGUUGUCCGGAAUCAUUGGGCGUAAAGAGCGUGUAGGCGGUUCGGUAAGUCGGCUGUGAAAGUCCAGGGCUCAACCCUGGGAUGCCGGUCGAUACUGCCGGACUAGAGUUCGGAAGAGGCGAGUGGAAUUUCCCGGUGUAGCGGUGAAAUGCGCAGAUAUCGGGAGGAACACCUAUGGCGAAGGCAGCUCGCUUGGACGUUACUGACGCUGAGACGCGAAGCCGUGGAGCAAACAGGGAU